rnacentral:rRNA from 2 species
UGGGGGAUAUUGCACAAUGGGGGAAACCCUGAUGCAGCAACGCCGCGUGAGGGAAGAAGGUUUUCGGAUUGUAAACCUCUGUUUUUAGUGAAGAAACAAAUGACGGUAGCUAAAGAGGAAGCCACGGCUAACUACGUGCCAGCAGCCGCGGUAAUACGUAGGUGGCAAGCGUUGUCCGGAUUUACUGGGUGUAAAGGGUGCGCAGGCGGGACUGCAAGUUGGAUGUGAAAUACCGAGGCUCAACCUCGGGGCUGCAUCCAAAACUGUAGUUCUUGAGUGGAGUAGAGGCAAGCGGAAUUCCGAGUGUAGCGGUGAAAUGCGUAGAUAUUCGGAGGAACACCAGUGGCGAAGGCGGCUUGCUGGGCUCUAACUGACGCUGAGGCACGAAAGCAUGGGGAGCAAACAGG